UACGGAGGGGACUAGCGUUGUUCGGAAUUACUGGGCGUAAAGCGCACGUAGGCGGCUUUGUAAGUCAGGGGUGAAAUCCCGGGGCUCAACCUCGGAACUGCCUUUGAUACUGCAAAUCUCGAGUCCGGAAGAGGUGAGUGGAAUUCCUAGUGUAGAGGUGAAAUUCGUAGAUAUCAGGAAGAACACCCGUGGCGAAGGCGGCUCUCUGGGACGGUACUGACGCUGAGACGCGAAAGCGUGGGGAGCAAACAGG
rnacentral:rRNA from 1 species